UUAGGGCACACAUUUCAGUUUUAGCAAGUUUGUUUUAAAAAUUGCGUGUAAAAAAAGUUAUUAGCACCCCACAUCCUUAGGGUUCUAAAUGCGCGCGUUAAUUUUGCAUACGUUUUUUAUUUAAUCACAAUAAACAAGUAGCCGUACGUCCUCGCUUCUGUUCCUUUUUAAAUUUCUUAACGUAUCUGUAUAUUAAUCGGCGCCUAGGUGUAAUUUAUUAAUUUAUUGGAGUUUUGGAUCUUCUGCACUAAUUUUGUCACAGCUUCCGAUGGUACAAGAUAAUCCGUUCGGUUUGUCACAGAUAUUUUGCGGUCGGCAUGCCUUUGAACGAAGUUAAUUAACAAAGUACCAACACCGAAAGCCAUUACAUGGCACAAAAGCGCAAAGGAUCAAUUACCAUGUUAAGAGGCUUAAUUCAUCACUGAGCAUAGAGUGUGUGAAGAAAACAGUCACAUAUAGCUGAUCGGCCUGAUCCCAUGAAUGGCCACCAGCAAAGAUACGCACAUCAACAGGUGCGACAUGUAUGCAAUUUAAUGACAAUGAUGACAAGGACGUCGUAAACACUUAUCGUGAUGGCGCGAAAUCAAACCAUCAGACCAUCACAGACUUUAAACAAUGCUCAACCGCGGCGACUCAUAAUGCCCCAUAACGCAGUCCAUUAGAAACGAAACAACUUUUGGUCCAAACAUGAAUGGCAGUUUUUUGCUCUCGAUGAUCUAAACACACAAACUUUUUCGAAUGGAAUUCACAAGAACGAAGCGAAUCGACAGGCUAUGCGCCGCAGCCGUUAUUCCAACGUUUUACCCAAUCACUUACAUCAAACAAAAGAUCUUCUGCUACAACAGACUUCUCCGGGGUAAUGUAUUGUUCGCAAACAACCGUCGACGAAUUGGAAAACCGGUUUUCCAUUGCGGAAGCGCGUCCUCGAAAAAGCAAAACCACAGCCGCGUCGUAUCCGCUGCUUUGAAUGACAGUGGCGAAUUUCAAGAGAAGUUCCCGCUUUACGAGUUCACCGUGGGUAGCCGAUCAGCCCGAACUGAGCCAUUUCUUCGCUGGAUGUCAAUUCCGUGCCCUAAAAUAACCCACACGUAGAAACCACGCUAUUAUGAUUCAAUUACACAGUUCAGUAAAUGUCAGUGCCAUCAAGACUGGCCCUGCAUUAUUUUGUGCCCAUUUGCACUUUUUGUUAAUCUUUUGGGCGGCACAUACCAUCAUCACAUCAAUGUCAUUCAUAUUCGAAAUGGCGGAUCCGUCAAAUGAAUGGACGAGCAAGGAACUUUCGUGAUCAUGAAGAGCCCCGACGAAAGCAUCGACUGCAGCAUCAUCCUCUACAAAACGUAAAAACCAAUGGAAUGGUCUCAUAAAAUUAGUUAGUUGGCAACUUGCGUUUAAUAUGACUGUAGUAAAGGUGUGAGUUACACGAAAGAGCAGCAUGGAUUCUGGUGAUCAACACAGAGUGAUUUUCCCUACCAAGAGCAACUUUCAGUAAAGGAACUUCGGCCUUGAAAUCCGCAAUCUGUGGCAGAUUUGCCGUUUUUAUCUCCUUUCGACUCAUCAUCCCAUUGGCGCAUUCGAUAACUUGUUCGGCAAGUCUGCGCACUUCCGUAUCUUGCUCCUCCUCA